GUGGAUUGUGCCCGCUUUAUGAGAGAAAUGGUUGUGUUGUUCACCCUUGUGCUCCAGUAUGCAUCUGAUAACCAAAAAUGGAAGUGUUGUCCAGGUUGGAGAAUUGUUGCCCUGUAAGAUCUGUGGAAGAACAUUCUUUCCAUUAGCACUGGUGAGUAGAUGGAGUCUAGCCUGUGUGCACUGGGACCCAGUAGACUUGUGGUAGUUUCACGCUUGAGGACCGUUGUUGUGGCUGAAGGUUAUGGAACAUUCACAGAGGGUAAUCUUUGAGGAUGAGUUUCAUCUGAAAAUGGCUAAACUUCUGAACUCCACUUUUAUACGCCAAAUCUUCCAGCUUUGUAGGAAUAUUAUGAGAUAGAAACACAAUACACAAAUCUAAGAGGCAAAGCACCUCAUAAAUACAAAUGAGAAUGUAUUAACAAACUGCUAUAAUCUCGAGAAUUUGCUUUAAAAGUACUCCAGGAACAGGAAUUGUUGAGAAGUAAGUUUUCUUCAGUUUUAAGUCAUCCAAAGCAAAGGUUUUGUUGUUUCAACAAUAUAAAAGUACAGCUAAAAAUAUGUUAAUGUCAU
rnacentral:lncRNA from 1 species